rnacentral:rRNA from 1 species
AUUGAACGCUGGCGGAAUGCUUUACACAUGCAAGUCGAACGGCAGCACGGGUGCUUGCACCUGGUGGCGAGUGGCGAACGGGUGAGUAAUAUAUCGGAACGUGCCCAGUCGUGGGGGAUAACGUAGGGAAAAUUACGCUAAUACCGCAUACGAUCUAUGGAUGAAAGCGGGGGAUCGCAAGACCUCGCGCGAUUGGAGCGGCCGAUAUCAGAUUAGGUAGUUGGUGGGGUAAAGGCCCACCAAGCCAACGAUCUGUAGCUGGUCUGAGAGGACGACCAGCCACACUGGAACGGAGACACGGUCCAGACUCCUACGGGAGGCAGCAGUGGGGAAUUUUGGACAAUGGACGCAAGUCUGAUCCAGCCAUUCCGCGUGCAGGAUGAAGGCCCUCGGGUUGUAAACUGCUUUUGUACGGAACGAAAAGGUCUCUCUUAAUACGGGGGGCUCAUGACGGUACCGUAAGAAUAAGCACCGGCUAACUACGUGCCAGCCGCCGCGGUAA